UGGUCCGCCCGUCGGAUUCAGUCCGCCUGCGCGGCGUCGGCGCCGGUCGCGCAUCCCUCGUGGGAGCGCGCCGGCGUCCGUUCGUCGUGCGGCGGCCGUACUUUCGGCGGGCGGAGCGCCACGACCGGUUCGCCGGCGGCGAGAAACUCCCGGGCAAGGUGACCUUCGCCUCGGCGCAGGAGCAUACAGGCUCGGUGAGCGUCGGCCCGUCGGCGGACCGAGGAAGACCGUCGCGGAGCGGCGUCGACCGCCCGUCGUGUGGUCGCGUUCGACUCGGGGGGACUGGUUCCAGUGCCCUCGGACCGCGCGGCCGCAGCGGCGGGACGGCCCGGCGUCGCGCCUGGGGUCGGUGGCGAAACGGCCGGCAACCUGUCCGACCCGUCUUGAAACACGGACCAAGGAGUCUAACAUGUGCGCGAGUCGUUGGGCGCUACGAAACCCGAAGGCGCAAUGAAAGUGAAGGCCCGGUCUCCGGCCGGCCUGGGUGGGAUCCGGACGGUCUCGGCCGUCCGGCGCACCACCGGCCCGUCUCGUUCGCCGCGUCGAAGAGGCGGAGCAAGAGCGUACACGUUGGGACCCGAAAGAUGGUGAACUAUGCCCGAGUAGGACGAAGCCAGAGGAAACUCUGGUGGAGGUCCGCAGCGAUUCUGACGUGCAAAUCGAUCGUCAAACUUGGGUAUAGGGGCGAAAGACUAAUC
rnacentral:rRNA from 1 species